rnacentral:rRNA from 1 species
AGCGAACGCUGGCGGCAGGCCUAACACAUGCAAGUCGAACGAACUCUUCGGAGUUAGUGGCGGACGGGUGAGUAACACGUGGGAACGUGCCUUUAGGUUCGGAAUAACUCAGGGAAACUUGUGCUAAUACCGAAUGUGCCCUUCGGGGGAAAGAUUUAUCGCCUUUAGAGCGGCCCGCGUCUGAUUAGCUAGUUGGUGAGGUAAAGGCUCACCAAGGCGACGAUCAGUAGCUGGUCUGAGAGGAUGAUCAGCCACAUUGGGACUGAGACACGGCCCAAACUCCUACGGGAGGCAGCAGUGGGGAAUCUUGCGCAAUGGGCGAAAGCCUGACGCAGCCAUGCCGCGUGAAUGAUGAAGGUCUUAGGAUUGUAAAAUUCUUUCACCGGGGACGAUAAUGACGGUACCCGGAAAAGAAGCCCCGGCUAACUUCGUG